rnacentral:rRNA from 1 species
UACGUAGGGUCCGAGCGUUGUCCGGAAUUAUUGGGCGUAAAGAGCUCGUAGGCGGUUUGUCGCGUCUGCUGUGAAAUCCCGAGGCUCAACCUCGGGUCUGCAGUGGGGUACGGGCAGACUAGAGUGCGGUAGGGGAGAUUGGAAUUCCUGGUGUAGCGGUGGAAUCGCAGAUAUCAGGAGGAACACCAAUGGCAAGGCAGAUCUCUGGGGCCUAACUG